rnacentral:tRNA from 1 species
GGCCCCGUCGUCUAGCGGUUAGGACGCCGGCCUUUCAAGCCGGAGGUCGCGGGUUCGAAUCCCGUCGGGGCUACCA